AACUUUGGACAAUGUGCGCAAGCCUGAUCCAGCCAUGCCGCGCGAUUGAAUAAGGCAUCCGGGUUGUAAAGCACUUCUAGUUGGGAGGAAGGUACGUAAGUUAAUACCUUGCUGUAUUGACGGUACCGACAGAUUAAGCACCGGCUAACUUCGUGCCAUCAGCCGCGGUAACACGAAUGGUGCAAGCGUUAAUCGGAAUUACUGGGCGUAAAGCGCGCGUAGGUGGUUCGUUAAGUUGGAUGUGAAAGGCCCGGGCUCAACCUGGGAACUGCAUCCAAAACUGGCGAGCUAGAGUACGGUAGAGGGUGGUGGAAUUACCUGUGUAGCGGUGAAAUGCGUAGAUAUAGGAAGGAACACCAGUGGCGAAGGCGACCACCUGGACUGAUACUGACACUGAGGUGCGAAAGCGUGGGGAGCAAACAGG
rnacentral:rRNA from 1 species